AGUGAGGAAUAUUGGUCAAUGGGCGCAAGCCUGAACCAGCCAUGCCGCGUGCAGGAUGACGGUCCUAUGGAUUGUAAACUGCUUUUGUACGGGAAGAAACCCUCCUACGUGUAGGAGCUUGACGGUACCGUAAGAAUAAGGAUCGGCUAACUCCGUGCCAGCAGCCGCGGUAAUACGGAGGAUCCAAGCGUUAUCCGGAAUCAUUGGGUUUAAAGGGUCUGUAGGCGGUCUUGUAAGUCAGUGGUGAAAGCCCAUCGCUCAACGGUGGAACGGCCAUUGAUACUGCUGGACUUGAAUUAUUGGGAAGCAACUAGAAUAUGUAGUGUAGCGGUGAAAUGCUUAGAGAUUACAUGGAAUACCAAUUGCGAAGGCAGGUUGCUACCAAUGGAUUGACGCUGAUGGACGAAAGCGUGGGUAGCGAA
rnacentral:rRNA from 1 species